ensembl:lncRNA
GGGAAACCCGAGUUCAGGCUCGUGUGGACAUCUUUGUGAGGUUUUUGUCUCAGCAUUUGGAAGUCAUAAAAGGAAAAAACUUAGCUGAUUUGACCACGUUUUUAAAAAUAACAAAGCAAGGGCCAGGGAUUGAGCUCAGUGGCACCGCCCCUGCCUCGAAAGCGCGAGACCCUGAGUUCGAUCCCUGGUACCAAAAGAAUGAAUCAAUAAAAUAACAAAACAAGUGCAGGGGUGGGCUCAGCAGUAGUACACUUUCCUAGCCUGCUCUGCGCCCUGGGUUCACUCUCCACACACGCACGCACAUACCAUACGCACACAAAGCCAUAGCGAGAGAAAGAAAAGAACAUAAUGCACAGAGGUGAGCCAAGUGAAGACGAUUACCGGUAGCACAUGAAGAAAAAAUAUAUUUGCAAUCCACACUCCAGAAAAAAACACUUACCUUUCUAAUUACACAAGGAGCUCCUAGAAAUAAUGGUAAAAGACCAGCCACACGGCGUGAAAGAACAAUGGGAAAGGGCCAGGCACAGAACCGUUACAGAAAAGAUGGUCCUUAAGCAGAUAUAUAAAAUUAAAUUAGCACUCCCCUGAGUGGUCUCCCCCCGCCCCCCCGCCGCCGCCCGAAGCACUAGAAACUCUCGCCCCCCAUUCUGUAUGGUGGGAUGCUGCAAGAUGAGGAAAACACACAGAGCUUCCCAUCGUUCGUCGUGUGCUGAGAGUGUCUUGUAAGCAGUGAGAAAUUCCCCGAUUCGAGGCGGGAGGAUGGCCAACCUGGGGUACAGUAUAGCAAGGUCGAGGUCAGCCUGAACUGUGUAGCCAGAGGAUCUAGGUCACCCUGAGGCUGUCUCACCUCCAGAGGCCAUCUGCUCUGUGCACGGCAGUCCUAGCAAACCUGAGGUCCUUUCUCAGAGCAGAGUAUGAAAGUGAAAGCAGAGUUACUGGUCUGCAAUGAGAAGUGCCCCUUUCCGCUAGCCGGUGUCCUCCUGCCCGCGGUGCGGUGCGGUGCGGUGCGGUGCGGUGCGGUGCGGAACAGCUGUUUCUCAGGGAAACCAAAUGAGUGAGCAGAAGGCAGUCUGAUAAACAGACCACAGCCGAGGUCACGGGCUGGGGGGAGCCUGAAGAGUCACGGCAAGUGAGCUCGGCACAUUACAUCCAUUGUCUCCUUUGAGCCUCAUUCAUUCAUUCAUUCAUUCAUUCAUUCAUUCUCUCUCUCUUUCAUUCAUUCAGCAAAUAAAUGCUGAUUAACUACAGGUACAUGCCAGACAGCAAACUAGGUGCUGAGGACAGGGCAUCAAAAUCUCAAGCGCCAAAAUGGCAAACAAAACAAUAAACCAAACAUGCGUGUCUAUUUGUGAACAUAUCGAUCUACCCAUGAGUCGGUCUAUACUUAUAUCUGUAUCUCUCUAUCUCUAUAUAGAUGUCUAUAUUAUGCCAAAGGGUAAUGAAUGAUACAGAAAGCAAGCCAGGUGAAGUGGACGUGAAGAUGAAGGCAGGAGAGAUUCUUCUCAGCAUUAUGAGACGGAGAUCGCCUCUGUGUUACAGACGAGAAGUGGCUUCCUCUAGUGUGCGCUCGAGCCAUCCCUACACGCUUUGCCUUUCCCCGUGUACCUUUGUGAGUGACCUCUUACAGGGGUGUACAUCGUCCCCAUUCCAGUUUUAAGCCAGGAGACCGCAGGUGUUUUUAGGAAAAGCAAGCACACCCAACAAUGGCUUGUCCCUAUGUAUUGUGAGGAUCUACAGUGUGUUUGACUGGCUUAGCUGUCUAUAGUAAGCAUAAUUUCUCUCCGUUGGGGCUGUAAAAGGACUCAAAAUCUAAUUAAAACUUUUUUUUAAACAUUGUUGGCUAAAAAACUUAAAACUUUUGUUGAACUCAAAUAACUAUUGUCUUUAGUUAUACUUUUCUACUGGGUGUUUAAGACCAAGUUACAGUGAGACCUAUAUUAAAUAAAAUCAACCUCUUGCUCUCUAACAAGGUCAAUUAAGUCUCCACAGGCACUGUCUUGGAACCAUGCAUAGAAGCCUCUUAGCUCCUCUGUCAGUGUCAGCCAUCAGGCUAUGUCACGGCCUUGCUUGACCAUGUUACCUUCUGCGAAAGCAUGAGAGAUUUUUUCCCUCCAGGUGACAUUCCUUUGGCACACUUUUUGUUGUAUCUUUACUGUUUUGGUGUUCAGCAACCUCCCUGCUCAGGAGGUUGGGUGACUCACCAAAAAUGCAGGAUCUUGGAGAUGGUUCCCUCAUGACCUGGAUCUUUUUGCUAGUGUUGUUGACCUUGGAGGGCCAGGGCCAAAAUAUUGGCUGCCUUCUCAGCCCAGAUGCCUCUUCAGUUUUGGUCCCUAAACUUUGUUGAAUACCCAGAAGAGAAGAUCAAUAACAUUAGCAUUGUAAGAGGAGUAGUGAACUCAAAUAUUAUAAUUUUUACCUGGAUAGUAAGCAUUUUGGAAUAAAAAUAUAGUUAAACUGUUAUUAUUGCCAAUCAUGUUUGUUCUUGUGGUUGAAUCCCUAAGUAGAUAUCUUUUUAUAGGAUAUCAUCUAAGGAAAAUAUAUCAGCCUACAAGUGUGCUUAUUAUCAUAGGUGGCUGGAGCGUAAGAGAAAGGCAAGUAUCUGAAUCAAAAGGUUACUACCAUAAAAAAUAUGUUGAAAGACCCAUACAAUUAGAGGGCAUGAAUACUUUUUGUACACCAGAAAAGGAGCGGUAAUAAAUAUUAGAGUUAUAUAAAACAUUAUGUUCUUCAAUGUAGUUUGGUACCAAAAGCAUCUUCCUAAUAACACUCUUUUGUUUAUGUCACAGAAAUUAAUCUUUUGAAGAUGACCAACGUAGACAUACCACAAUAACAUAUUCAGAAAUUAACCAAUGUAAACAUUUUAUUUUAUUAUUUAUUUAUUUAUUUAUUUAUUUAUUUGGUACCGGGGAUCGAACUCAGGUCCUUGGGCUUGCAAGACAGGCGGCGGAACCACUGAGCUAAAUCCCCGGCCCUUAAACAUUUUAUAAUAACAUAUUUAGCGCUUAAACGUCAAUGAUAACCAAUGUAAUCAAUUUAUAAUAACAUGUUGAGACAAUAUUUGUUGUGGUGUGUCUCCCAUAAGAUUAUGAAUAUUACUAGGGGGUCCCUUCAGUGAAUUUAGACCAGAAUAAUUAUUUUCUGGGUGGCCGCUUCUUUAUUCACCAAAGGGAGUACACCCACGGUCUCUAUGUACUUUGACAAAUAAAUCUCGAUGGCACUCUGAUCAGUUAGCAACCUGGGAGAAGAAGGGCAUGACUUUAAUUUAAUAACAUUUAUCUGUAAGCCAAUCCAAUAAUAGGUGAAUAUCUUUUAAGGAAAAAAAAAAUUUUUUUUCCAAAAGAUGAAAAGGAUAAGAGAAAAAAAAUUUUGAGCUCAACUGUACAGACGGACAAACAGACAACAGACAGACAUAUAAGACAGUUUAUAAAACUAGAGUGCGCUCAAAUAUAUUUGGCCAAAUCAAAUUAUAAUAUCCCUUUUAUGAUUUUUAGGUUUAUAAUUGUAUAUAAGACGGGUCAAAAACUUUUGUAGUCAAUUAACAGAGAUCUCUUGAGAUUAGAAUCAGAAGGAAUGCAAGCGCUUUUAUACCUAUAAAUAUAAAAAGAACAUUUUCAAGUUGUGCCCCCCCCCCUUUAAAAAUCUAUAUUUAUUCUUCCUCUGGGGACAUCAUCUCAAUCCUGGACCCCGCUGUGGAUCUGUUGGUCGUUGCUGGUGAGGUGGGUCACUCAGGCGCAGCUGGCUCAUCGCUCUCAGCUGGGGUGCUAUCACCCAUUCUCCAAGAUGUUGGUGGUUCCACCAGUGUGACCCAUGGUCUCACAUUCCGGGAGGGCAGCCACAAGGUUUCAUCAUUGUCUGUUAGGACACAGGCAAAACCUCUCCCCCGAGUUAUUAAGGCAGGAGCAAUUUUUUGACAUAUGGCCUUUGGUAAUCUUAAAAACAAGUUUAAUAAUUUAGGUUCUAAGGUAGAGCAGACCAUAGCUCCUUCCAGUCUUUGGGUCAACCAAACUGCUCAAGAGAAAUCACUUAAAAUAUUAAGAGGUUGGGGAGGGAAGUUUUGAAUCACAGAUAAAACGGCUAGCAACUCUGACCUCUGGGCAGAGUGGACCAAGGCCCAAGUGGGGAGCGUUUGGGGGGAGAGACGAUCACCCCUUUGCCAGGCCUCACGGAGAACGGUACCUACACGUUCCCAUGCUAUUAAGUUUGUUGUCCCUUCCUGGGGGAAAGAUGGGAUGUACAUUUGUAUGUCUUUUAGCAAAUCUAUCACAGCAUCCUUAGGUACUGGGUACAUAGCUUGCUUUAACAGCGACUCAAGUAAUUUGGCAAAGUUACGCUGCUCUGAUGACAGAGACUGACCCAUAGUUGUAACUCAGCAAGGAUAGAAACUUACCCCCGGCUGGACACACUUACCACCAGUGUCCCUCGUGCAAGUCCGGAAAUCGUCCCGGGAGAUCCGUGUGCUGUCUCUCUUACUCCAAGUUUGUCUCACAGGCGGGUUCGCAUCCAAGUUGGGUGCCAAAUGUAGGGAACAGGGAAAGAGGACGUUACUAGAACCUCUGCAGUGAGUCCUCGUCUCCUGCGAGCCACGGCAGCACAAGGCGAAUUACAGGAAAGGUAGAAAAAUGAGACCUUGAAAAGAAGCUGAGCUUUGGGUCUGAUCAGUGCUGCUCUGGGCGGCAAAGACGAAAGCCCCCAGCUUACCGCACCUUUUAUUCAGUACAUCGGGAGAAACAAAGUGUAACAAAUGACUUGCCGAGAGUUCAGUACAUCCUGCGUAAAUAAGAUGUAACGAUCCAAGAACAAGGAGGAACUGAGUAGACGUUUGUUCCUCCCAGGAUGUUUCCUGUCCUGGAGAAUCACAGACAGCAUCACCGGAUCAUUGAGGUCUCAGUUGUGACCGGAGGCCAAAAUGCAAUUAUGUCUCGGAAUUCCAUAGCUGGGUUGUAGGCAGGAGAACUAGGCUAACCAACCCACCAGCCCCCCCCCCCCCCCC